rnacentral:rRNA from 1 species
GACGAACGCUGGCGGCGUGCCUAAUACAUGCAAGUUGAGCGCUGAAGGUUGGUACUUGUACCAACUGGAUGAGCAGCGAACGGGUGAGUAACGCGUGGGGAAUCUGCCUUUGAGCGGGGGACAACAUUUGGAAACGAAUGCUAAUACCGCAUAAAAACUUUAAACACAAGGUUUAAGUUUGAAAGAUGCAAUUGCAUCACUCAAAGAUGAUCCCGCGUUGUAUUAGCUAGUUGGUGAGGUAAAGGCUCACCAAGGCGAGGAUACAUAGCCGACCUGAGAGGGUGAUCGGCCACAAUGGGACUGAGACACGGCCCAAACUCCUUCGGGAGGCAGCCGUAGGGGAUCUUCGGCCAUGGACGAAAGUCUGACCGAGCAACGCCGCGGGAGUGGAGAAGGUUUUCGGGUCGUAAAACUCUGUUGGUAGAGAAGAACGUUGGGGAGAGUGGAAAGCUCAUCAAGUGACGUUAACUACCCAGAAAGGGACGGCUAACUACGUG